rnacentral:lncRNA from 1 species
GGGCCAUGAAGAAUCAGGAGGAAGAAGGGGGCCAAGGAAACAUCCAUCAUUAUUAAUAGACGUGACUUGAGAAGGAGCUCAUGUCUGACCAAUGAACUAAAGAGCGUGGGGUUCGGUGUAAGGGUCAAAGAAAAAGUCAAAAGGAAGAAAAGUGAGAAAUCUGAAGAAAAUCGAGAAAUCUGAAGAAAAUCAAGAAGGACCAGGAGAACCUAGACCAUGCCCCUAGGUCAUUCCGGCAGGUCCCGUCGCCAUAGUCGUCUCAAUAACGCACAUCAGCCCACUGUGUUCGGUGGCUGGGGUGCCCCUCCAGGCAGAGACUGGAGCCAUAGGGCUCUCUGUGGUUGCCCUUACCACUGUGAGCCACCAGAAGAGCGACCGAGCUCUCGACCAGUCCACGGCAUCAUCAGCAGACAGCCAUCCCGAGAGUCAUCAGGAUUAGGCUGCCGGCUCCCGUGCAGGGGUUGGACUCCGGAGCUUCAGCCUUCAUUACCACCCCGUCACCAUUUUCAUUUUCCCAGUCCAACUGGACGUACUCAUGGACCUCACAGAGCAGGAAGUCGUGGAAUGUACAGAAUGCCGAGCACAGGGCCUGAGUGCCCCCCAAUCCCUUCCCGAUUUGGAACAUGUCCUCAGUCUCCUUGUCAGGCUCCACAUGUGGAUGGUGGCCUGUACUCAUCGCUUUAUCAGCCACCUACGUCUUCUCGUCUCUUCCGCCUUCCUCCUCGCUAUACCCAUUACCGGGUACCUCAGAACUAUCCAGAGCAUCAAUACUUUUAUCCAUCUUCAUCUGAACUUUUGCCUUUUCCUCUCCAAUCUCCCAUUCCUCGCCGGAAUGGGCUGGACCCUUAGUGAGGUCAACUCCAGGGGGACAAAGGAAAAAUAAAUGACAGUGACUGCGUAUUCCA